GAUGAAGAACGCAGCGAAAUGCGAUACGUAAUGUGAAUUGCAGAAUUCAGUGAAUCAUCGAGUCUUUGAACGCACAUUGCGCCCCCUGGUAUUCUGGGGGGCAUGCCUGUCCGAGCGUCAUUGCUGCCCUCAAGCACGGCUUGUGUGUUGGGCCUCCGUCCUCCUCCCGGGGGACGGGCCCGAAAGGCAGCGGCGGCACCGCGUCCGGUCCUCGAGCGUAUGGGGCUUCGUCACCCGCUCUUGUAGGCCCGGCCGGCGCUUGCCGACACAUCAAUCUUUUUUCCAGGUUGACCUCGGAUCAGGUAGGGAUACCCGCUGAACUUAAGCAUAUCAAUAAGCGGAGGA
rnacentral:misc_RNA from 1 species